rnacentral:lncRNA from 1 species
CGGGCGGCCGCAGCCGGGGGCGCGUUUCCCCGCGGCGGCCGUUGGCGUCGCAGCGCGCCGGGCGAGGACGAGGAGUGCGGCCGGGUCCGGGACUUCGUCGCCAAGCUGGCCAACAACACGCACCAGGACCCAGUAACGCUGUUAGGCCCCAGGAAGGUGAAGGAGUAAUUAACUCUUGAGCGCUUGCAGAAGUUGGGCUGCGCAGAAGCAAAGCAUGUGGUUUGAUGAUCUCAGAGGCUCAGUAUCCUUGUCCUGGGUUGGAGAUAGCACUGGGGUCAUUCUAGUCUUGACUACCUUCCAUGUACCACUGGUAAUUAUGACUUUUGGACAGUCCAAGCUAUAUCGAAGUGAGGAUUAUGGGAAGAACUUUAAGGAUAUUACAAAUCUCAUCAAUAACACCUUUAUUCGGACUGAAUUUGGCAUGGCUAUUGGUCCUGAGAACUCUGGAAAGGUGGUAUUAACAGCAGAGGUGUCUGGAGGAAGUCGUGGAGGAAGAAUCUUCAGAUCAUCAGAUUUUGCAAAGAAUUUUGUGCAAACAGAUCUCCCUUUUCAUCCUCUCACUCAGAUGAUGUAUAGCCCUCAGAAUUCUGAUUAUCUUUUAGCUCUCAGCACUGAAAAUGGCCUGUGGGUGUCCAAGAAUUUUGGGGGAAAAUGGGAAGAAAUCCACAAAGCAGUAUGUUUGGCCAAAUGGGGAUCAGACAACACCAUCUUCUUUACAACCUAUGCAAAUGGCUCCUGCACUGACCUUGGGGCUCUGGAAUUAUGGAGAACUUCAGACUUGGGAAAAAGCUUCAAAACUAUUGGUGUGAAAAUCUACUCAUUUGGUCUUGGGGGACGUUUCCUUUUUGCCUCUGUGAUGGCUGAUAAGAGACUUAAGAAACAAUGAAA